rnacentral:rRNA from 1 species
GACGGAGGAUGCAAGCGUUAUCCGGAAUUAUUGGGCGUAAAGCGUCCGCAGGUGGACAUACAAGUCUGCUGUCAAAGUGCAGAGCUUAACUCUGUAAAGGCGGUGGAAACUGUAGGUCUUGAGUAUGGUAGGGGUAGAGGGAAUUUCCAGUGGAGCGGUGAAAUGCGUAGAUAUUGGAAAGACCACCGAUGGCGAAGGCACUCUACUGGGCCAUUACUGACACUGAGAGACGAAAGCUAGGGGAGCAAAUGGG